rnacentral:rRNA from 1 species
UACGUAGGGGGCGAGCGUUGUCCGGAAUCAUUGGGCGUAAAGAGCGUGUAGGCGGUCCGAUAAGUCCGCUCUGAAAGCCCGGGGCUCAACCCCGGGAGGCGGGCGGAUACUGUCGGGCUAGAGUCCGGAAGAGGCAAGUGGAAUUCCUGGUGUAGCGGUGAAAUGCGCAGAUAUCGGGAGGAACACCGAUGGCGAAGGCACUCUGCUGGGCCGACACUGACACUGAGAGACGAAAGCUAGGGGAGCGAAUGGG